rnacentral:rRNA from 1 species
UACGAAGGUGGCAAGCGUUGUUCGGAUUUACUGGGCGUAAAGAGUGCGUAGGCGGUUUAACAAGUCAGAAGUGAAAGCCCAGGGCUCAACCCUGGAAUUGCUUUUGAAACUGUUUUACUUGAAUCCGGUAGGGGUUGGCGGAAUUCUCAGUGUAGAGGUGAAAUUCGCAGAUAUUGAGAGGAACACCAGUGGCGUAAGCGGCCAACUGGACCGGUAUUGACGCUGAGGUACGAAAGCGUGGGUAGCAAACAGG